CUGGCGAACUGCUGAAGAUAAUUCAUGGCAAAGGAGAUGAAACUGAAGUCGAGUUUUGUCAUGUUCUUUUCUCUGAGCAUGCAUGAGAAUGAAUGUUUCAGAGAGUGGUAGAAUCAUUUGUUCAUUCAUGCAUUCUUUUUCAGUAACCUCUUUAUCAUAGUCAGGGUCACAGUGGAUCUGGAGUCCAUCCUGGGAACAAUGGGCUUCAGGCAGGAAUACACCCAAGAUGGGACACCGGUCCAUUUGGGAUUAAAUUUCCAAAAUGGGGCAUGAAAUUAUCUGCUUUCCAUAGUUUAUCCCUAGAAGGCUGUGGAGUAACCGACAGAGAAUGGGUGCAAUGUGAGCCAAGUGCUCAAAGUAUGUGAGCACUUGAAUUGCAAAUUUAAGCUCAUUUUAUUUAUUAAGCUUUGUUUUUGAAAAAUACCCCAAUGAAGAAGGAGUCAGUAACCUAAACGUUAUGAAAGCAUGAAUAAGGAUCUUUGCAUCUUUCAGACUAUGUAUAAAGUUGAUUAGGGCGGUACCGCAGAGAUAAAGAAAAAAGCUCUUCGUUAGUUCCUUUAAAGGUGGGUUGAAAAAAUAAACAGGAACAAGGUUGUAAAUACGUAUUAGAAAAGGGCUUAAUAGUGGCAAUCAAUGGGUCAUUUUACAAAUCAGUAUUUUGAGAGCAACAAGUCAAAACAUUGGAUUCAAAGUACGUGCAUAAUUUCAAUGAUGGACAAGCAGGUGAUAGAGAAGCCAGAGCUUCAUACUGAGUUACAUUCGACAUGGCAUUUGCAACGCAGUGGACAUUAAGGUAGAGCUGAAGAAUUACUUGAUCAUUAUAAGAUCAUUAUUGAGCUCUAGGAGUUCUAUACUGUGGAAGGAAACUGACCGGACAGGCUCGAAUUAACUCUUAGGGGCUAGUUAUCAAUCUAGCGGUUUAGAUAGAAAUGGAAGCUUCGCAGUAGCUGUGGGCUCCUGAGUAGUGCAAAGGAAAAGCAUUUGCCCUAUCGUCUAGAGAAUACCAAUGAUGCCACAACCAUCCAUGGCCCGGUGAACAAAGGAGAACAAAAUUUGUUCUCAGGGUGGGAGGGAUGGCUCCUGUAUCACUCACAAUGAUGCAGAGUCAAUCACAGGCAUACGUGAGCUCAUGCAUGCAGGAUAGGAACGAUGGCGCUUUCCUCCGAGUGUGUUACGCUGACAUGUGAUGAUGCAUGAGCAGCAGUUCGAAAAGAUGCAGAGGUUGGCUUCACGUGUCUCGGAGGAUACACGCUCUAGCUAACCCUCCCUACCCGGUAGGUAGUUUCGUCUUUUGACAGGGAAGAGUUAGCUUGCGGAUGAGAAGUGACGAGACCAAAUGAGGGAGAAAACGGGGAGAAAGAAAUGAACUAUAGGUGGCUUAAGAAGUUUAUUUAUUAUUUACAGCAGCAAAAAUGAGUUUGAUUGAUAAUAGAGCUGUAAUAAGAUGAACAAAACAGUAUUUAGGGCAUCCUUGCACUUAAGUAAUUGGUCACUAUAAGUCACGGCAUGGAUAGUAAAGCCUGUGUUCUGAGACAAGCGCUUAAGAAGCUUACCUGCUGCUUUUAUAACAUGAAGUUCUGGUGUGUAAAAGGACAGAACCAGUCAAAGCAAAGCCACAGAAUCUCUUGUGCAUGUCUUUCUGACAGACUAAAUGCCAAACUGUCAAACCUAAAAUGAGUAUAUGCUACAUGUUCCAGCGAGUCUGGAAGAAUUUGGCAGUUAAGUGACUCGCUGCGGCAUCAACAUCAGCGAAACGACAGCACAAGUUCCACUCUAGUUGUAAUAAGCCAACAUCGCGGAGGCUUCUCCUUAACCAGAAUGUAACACAAGGGAUCAUAGUGUCCGUUAGGGAUGUGACCAAAUGAUAUGAAUACGUUAUUUGGAAUAGAACAGACAAUGUGUUCAGAACGGAUACAAAUACUGACCCAGAUAAGAGACGCACUAGGCAGAUUUUUUCACAGGUUCCCGGGGCAUCUGGCUGAGACUAGGAGUGCGCAUCGGGACGGGGACGCCAUUGGCCGUGACCGAAAAAAGUCAUGUAUGUGAGAGGUUUUUACCUUCAUGUGUGCUGUGCUGAGUGAUGCGUUUAAAAAAAGCAUUAAACCCUUGCUCUAAAGUAUACUACUAGUUUGUUUACAUUUUUUUGGAAAUACAAACAAGUGAAUUUCAGGUGAAAGGCAGGUACAAACACAAACAUCCAUCGCCGAGACCAAAUAUGAACUUGAGCGAUGUAGCUGAGGUUGAGGAACUGUCAGAGCCAGAAUUCACACAUCAUGUGUGACAGUGCUGGCAUUUCUACCUCUGUUUUUCCCAGUGUUAUCGCUCAAGCCAAAGCCGUAAACACGGCGCUAACACAGAUCUAAUUGGGCAUACUGUCCGUCUUACUCCUUGUAAGACAGCUCGUCCUGGUUCGUCUCACUGCACGUGUGUUAAUCCAGCGGUAGAGCUGUCUUAUUGAUUUUGUGGGGAAUAUUUAUGCUGUGGCACUUCUCCAUGUAUCCUGGGAACUCAUAAGAUUGGGCUUUUGCCAAAUGAGCACUGGUAACAGCUUCAUCUUUUAUAACUAAGGGAAGCUUUGAAUGCUAGUAUAUUUUCCAUGCCACUAAUAGUUCCUAUAGACCCAAGUAUUUCAUCAGAAAACAUUAUUCGUAACUGCACGUUUACUUAAUGUCGUUUGGGGGUUGUUUUUUUUUACUUAUCCUUCAGUACACAAAGAACAAAUGACAACGCUUUGGAGCUUAUUGUCCAUCUGCCACUCUGUAACAUCAGGUUUAAUAUUAGGAUAGCUGUCGAAUGCUUUUAAAAAAUAAUAAUGCCUUUUGAUUUUAGCAGCUACAAAAUCAGGUUAACAUUGCUGUUAAGUUUCGUCUCUGUGGGAAAUCCAAUUCUACAAAACAGAAUAUGACUGACUGUGGGCGUAAAAGAAACAGACAGAAAGUGGGGGGGAAAAACAGAUAUUAUGCAACCGGAUCUCUGAGACCUGAAUGAUGGUGUAUGAGUAACUACUGUAUAUAUUUGCAGGUUUGUAUACGAAUAAGAGGUAAUUCAUUGUCCAUAGCUCCUGCUGUUACACCUCACUGGCAUAUUUUGCAACAUGGAUUUGGUUUCCAGUUGCUAUUUAAAUAACUAGGAGGUGAUUAUUCACCCAUGUUCUCUUGUCACCACAGAUCCCCCUGUCCUCCUGCUGGGGAGGGGGGGGGGGGAAUAGUUACGUAUCAAAUAAAUGCAGACCUUGCAAUCUAAACUUGUCUAGAAUUUUAAAGAAGAGAGAAAUUGCAUUGGAGACUGUUCUCCUUUCCUCAUGAGCAGGUUCCAGCAAGGUCACUAUUCAGAAACAAUUUACCAGGAGCCUGUUUGGGUUCUUAGAUCCCACUGAUAGACUGAAGGGGGAUUGUGAAGGGGGAAAAUGAGCACAACUGUAGAUUAUCAUUCCUGUCAGUUGCCGAGUGAGGUCAUGAGGACGACGCUCACCCCUACAGCACUUUCUCCCAAUAGUCUCUCUCCUCGCUGCGAGCUAGAACAUUUUCAAAGUUAUUUAGUCUGUGUAAGGAUUCGGUCUACUUCAUGCCAUGCUCGAUCCCAGCACUAAAUUCAUGUGCUGAUACAACUUGAAAGGGAAUGGGUUUGAUCUGAAGUGCGCCGGUGCUGAUGUAAUGAACUGCAAGAGUAGAAUGACUGAGAAAGGCGAAUAGCAUAGAAAUGGCUCGGUAUAUUAAAUCCACACAGAGAAUUCGUAUAAUACGUCCCCACAUCUGUUCGUGGUGACUUUUUAGGCUUAUUUCAGCGUAAUGUGUGGCAUUAAUAAUCGAAUGCAUUCGCAGCAGAACUAUAACAGAUGCUAAAUUUUUCAUCGGGGGGUUCAUUUGGACAAGAACAGAUCGUAACUUUUGGCCACCUCUCAUGAGCGAGCUUUUCUAAUGGUUCCAUGAUGGUGUCAUUGAGAAAGAAAUCAACCCUAGUCGAAAUUAUCAGCCUGUGCUGGCUAGCAUGGUGACGGAAACAGCUGUUAGUCUGAGAACAGUGGAGAGACCAGGGCCAGAACUGUUUUACUUGUACUACACUACACAGCUAACUUUAUGUUUGAUAUAUCACGUCACUAUCACAUUUAUUCUUUUUUUCCCACACAAAUAAAUAUGCUGUUAUAUGCCAGUAAUACUAGCAAUGACUAGCAAGGGAGGGCUGACAAGAACGGAACUCCAGCAACCAGCGAGCUCAUUCGUUUCUCUAUACAGUCCCUUCGGGAUUUCGGCGAUCGCAGAAAUGAACGCAAAAUCAAGGAAACUAUUUUCAAAAUCACCACAAAUUUUCCGCAAAAUUCGGGCCAAGAGGCGUCAGGUGACGUCAUCACAGCAUGCAUUCAGCCAUAGACCUCUUUGAUUCACUUGCGUCGAACAUGAGUGCAGAGAAAAGGUCUCAUUCGCCGACAAUUUCGCAAAACAAUUUCAUGCAAUUGCGAUUUCACCAAUUCGAGUAAAAAAAAAAAAAACACAAAAAGUUCUGCAAAUUACAUCGCAAAUUCUUUUCAAAACGCAGCAAAAUCGAGCAUUUUUGGCCGCAACAAUCAAAAAAAUAAUAAUUAUAGCAUUCAAUAGUAUGACCUUUCUGGUCAUAGAGGAAAUCAAGUUAAAACCACGCUUCGCAUCCAUGAAUUAAGAGUGUUGUGGUGACGACUCAAGCCUAAGAAGAAAUUUUUUACCGCUUAUCCUGCACAAAGUCGCGAUUGAUAUAAAAAAAAUAAUAACACAAGAUCCAUAAAACCCUAAAUGAUCCCCAAUAAGUUGUGGGGGGAAUAAUAAUAAUAAUAAUAAUA
ensembl:lncRNA